UCGGACGUGGUGUAUGGAACACAGCCUCUUGUGGUGGGGACCCCGGGUAUCACAAUUAUGAGGCAGUCCGGGGCUCGACUCCCCGCGUCCGAA